rnacentral:rRNA from 1 species
UACGGAAGGCAGCAGUGGGGAAUAUUGCACAAUGGGCGAAAGCCUGAUGCAGCUAUGCCGCGUGUAUGAAGAAGGCCUUAGGGUUGUAAAGUACCUUCAUCGGGGAGGAAAAAACAAAACUAAUAAUUUUAUUUCUUGACGUUACCCGAAAAAGAAGCACCGGCUAACUCCGUGCCAGCAGCCGCGGUAAUACGGAGGGUGCUAGCGUUAAUCAGAAUUACUGGGCGUAAAGAGCACGUAGGUGGUUUUUUUAAGUCAGAUGUGAAAUCCCUGGGCUUAACCUAGGAACUGCAUUUUGAAACUGAAAUACUAGAGUAUCGUAGAGGGAGGUAGAAUUCUAGGUGUAGCGGUGAAAUGCGUAGAUAUCUGGAGGAAUACCUGUGGCGAAAGCGGCCUCCUAAACGAAUACUGACACUGAGGUGCGAAAGCGUGGGGAGCAAACGAGGGAUUAGAUACCCGU